GGAGAGGUGCCGGAGUGGUUGAACGGGGCGGUCUCGAAAACCGUUGUGGGACUUGUGCCCACCGUGGGUUCGAAUCCCACCCUCUCCG
rnacentral:tRNA from 1 species